rnacentral:tRNA from 1 species
GCCCAGGUGGUGAAAUUGGUAAACACAAGGGACUUAAAAUCCCUCGGUCCUUAAGACUCUGCGGGUUCAAGUCCCGCCCUGGGCA